AUUGAACGCUGGCGGCAGGCCUAACACAUGCAAGUCGAGCGGUAGCACAGAGAGCUUGCUCUCGGGUGACGAGCGGCGGACGGGUGAGUAAUGUCUGGGAAACUGCCUGAUGGAGGGGGAUAACUACUGGAAACGGUAGCUAAUACCGCAUAACGUCGCAAGACCAAAGUGGGGGACCUUCGGGCCUCAUGCCAUCAGAUGUGCCCAGAUGGGAUUAGCUAGUAGGUGGGGUAAUGGCUCACCUAGGCGACGAUCCCUAGCUGGUCUGAGAGGAUGACCAGCCACACUGGAACUGAGACACGGUCCAGACUCCUACGGGAGGCAGCAGUGGGGAAUAUUGCACAAUGGGCGCAAGCCUGAUGCAGCCAUGCCGCGUGUGUGAAGAAGGCCUUCAGGUUGUAAAGCACUUUCAGCGGGGAGGAAGGUGUUAAGGUUAAUAACCUUGGCGAUUGACGUUACCCGCAGAAGAAGCACCGGCUAACUCCGUGCCAGCAGCCGCGGUAAUACGGAGGGUGCAAGCGUUAAUCGGAAUUACUGGGCGUAAAGCGCACGCAGGCGGUCUGUCAAGUCGGAUGUGAAAUCCCCGGGCUCAACCUGGGAACUGCAUUCGAAACUGGCAGGCUAGAGUCUUGUAGAGGGGGGUAGAAUUCCAGGUGUAGCGGUGAAAUGCGUAGAGAUCUGGAGGAAUACCGGUGGCGAAGGCGGCCCCCUGGACAAAGACUGACGCUCAGGUGCGAAAGCGUGGGGAGCAAACAGGAUUAGAUACCCUGGUAGUCCACGCCGUAAACGAUGUCGAUUUGGAGGUUGUGCCCUUGAGGCGUGGCCUCCGGAGCUAACGCGUUAAAUCGACCGCCUGGGGAGUACGGCCGCAAGGUUAAAACUCAAAUGAAUUGACGGGGGCCCGCACAAGCGGUGGAGCAUGUGGUUUAAUUCGAUGCAACGCGAAGAACCUUACCUGGUCUUGACAUCCACAGAACUUUCCAGAGAUGGAUUGGUGCCUUCGGGAACUGUGAGACAGGUGCUGCAUGGCUGUCGUCAGCUCGUGUUGUGAAAUGUUGGGUUAAGUCCCGCAACGAGCGCAACCCUUAUCCUUUGUUGCCAGCGGUUAGGCCGGGAACUCAAAGGAGACUGCCAGUGAUAAACUGGAGGAAGGUGGGGAUGACGUCAAGUCAUCAUGGCCCUUACGACCAGGGCUACACACGUGCUACAAUGGCAUAUACAAAGAGAAGCGACCUCGCGAGAGCAAGCGGACCUCAUAAAGUAUGUCGUAGUCCGGAUUGGAGUCUGCAACUCGACUCCAUGAAGUCGGAAUCGCUAGUAAUCGUAGAUCAGAAUGCUACGGUGAAUACGUUCCCGGGCCUUGUACACACCGCCCGUCACACCAUGGGAGUGGGUUGCAAAAGAAGUAGGUAGCUUAACCUUCGGGAGGGCGCUUACCACUUUGUGAUUCAUGACUGGGGUGA
rnacentral:rRNA from 1 species